rnacentral:rRNA from 1 species
AUGCAGGAGCAGAUUACAGUGAUUGGGGACAUUUGUAAGGAAUCACACUCAACAUUUCAGUCGUUCUUUAAGCACGAUGACACCACCUCUGUUGCAUCUGUUAUGAAAGAAGCAAUUCCUUGUGGUGCAAUAGAAGGUAGUGAUGAGCACUUCAUUGCCACUGAGCUUUUCAUCAAAAGAGAGCAAAGGGAGAUGUUUCUAAGCAUGAGUGCUGAAACUCGUUUGGGUUGGCUCAAGAGGAAGUUCAGCGUCAAAUGUCAUCUGAUAGUGACAGUGAUGAUGAAAACUAUUAUGAAAUGA